GGUUUCGCUGUUGUGGCGGUGGCUUGCCGCUCCAUGUGAUACUAAACUUAAGGUCUUGUGUACAAGCGUAUACACUAUUUGUUGUGAUAAUUAUACAGAUAGAAUACAACAAAGAUGUCAUUCCGACUGGUCCGACAGAGCAAGUUCCGUCAUGUAUAUGGCACAUGCUUAAAAAGGGAACAGUGCUUUGAUAAUAUACGAGUUAGCAAGUCAUCAUGGGACUCCACAUUCUGCGCCGUCAAUCCAAAAUUCUGCGCCAUAAUAGUAGAGUCGGGAGGAGGCGGUGCUUUCAUAGUCCUCCCCCUCACCAAAGUUAACAAGGAAGGGAUUUGGGAACCAGAUAGAAAGGGGAUAUUGGCUGGUCGUAUUCCUCCUGACCAUCCACUGGUGGGAGGACACAAGGGCCCAGUAUUGGAUAUUGCCUGGGAUCCUUUCAACGAUAAUGUCAUUGCUUCGGGAUCAGAGGACUGUGUGGUCAAAGUCUGGCAAAUACCCGACUAUGGCCUGGUGACGACAAUGACAGAGCCAGUGGUUGACUUAAUGUACCAUCAGCGUCGUGUAGGAAUGGUUGUGUGGCAUCCUACAGCCAAUAACAUCCUUCUAUCAGCUGGCUCAGACAAUAUUGUUGUUAUAUGGAAUGUUGGGUGUGGAGAGGCGCUUACCACCAUUGAUGCCCAUCCAGAUAUCAUUUAUUCCUGCUGCUUCAACUGGGACGGAUCUCUUCUCUUAACCACAUGCAAGGACAAGAAAAUUAGGAUAAUCAAUCCACGGGACGGUGAAGUGUUUGAGGAAGCGACAUCACAUGAAGGUAGCAAAGCUACACGAGCCAUCUUCCUGCGGAAUGGAUUGGUUUUCACAACAGGGUUCAGCAAGCGAUCAGAGCGGCAAUAUUCCUUACGUGCUCCUGGCCACCUAGACGAUCCCAUCACCAUGGUGGAGCUGGAUUCCUCUAAUGGUGUUAUGUUCCCUAUGUAUGACCCAGAUACCAACCUUGUCUACCUCUGUGGCAAAGGUGACAGUGUCAUCCGGUACUUUGAGAUCACGCCGGAGGUGCCGUUUGUUCAUUACAUCAACACGUUUCAGUUACCAGACCCUCAGCGAGGUAUUGGUAUGAUGCCAAAGCGAGGUGUUGAUGUUACUACGUGUGAAAUCACCCGCUUCUACAGACUCAACAACAGUGGCUUCUGCCAAAUUAUUACCAUGACAGUACCAAGAAAGUCUGAGUUGUUCCAAGAAGAUCUUUACCCCGACACCCCAGGUGAUAUUCCUGCAGUGAGUGCAGAAGAAUGGUGGGAGGGCCAGACAAAAGAACCCAUCCUCAUGUCUCUCAAAGAUGGCUACCAGGUCACACAGAAGACAGAGCUCAAGGUGACCAAGAAGACCAAUAUCCUAGACAGGAUGCCACCCACAGGCAAAGUAAAGUCCGAAGAAGAUGGAAAGGCAACUGCUCUCUCUUCCGAGGCUCUUGAGAAGGUCACUGAGGUCUCCAAAGUGAAUGAUGAUCUCAGGAAAAGAAUAGAUGAGUUGCAGACUGAAAUGAAAAAAUUCAAGGCUGUGUUCCUGAAGCAGGAGAACCGGAUCAGAGUUCUAGAAAACAAGCUUGGGGAGCUGACUGGAACUGGUGGAGCCCCAACUCAGACACAGGGUAAAAAAGGGACCUCUAAGAGUGUUAAGAAAUAAUUCGGAGGUGAAAGAGUGGAAUAGUGUAAUAGGUAAGGGGAAGAUUGGCAUAAUGUACUAGGCCCCAAGCACUCUUUCUGCCAACACGGUCAACAACAAUUGUGACAUGGCCCCAGAUGAGGUGUAGAUGCCAGAGACUUCCAGAACUGAGUCCCUCUGAUACAAGAAGCUGGUGAUGUUUAUGUGAGCUAUGGAGUUUGCACUCACCAUGCAAAGUCCCAGCAUCACACGGCCAGUCACACGCAGAGAUAUGGGAGGAAUCACUCUUGGGAUAUUCACAGCUCUCACAAUGAAUCUUCUCACCGACGCGUAGGAUCGUAACCGUGUUAAUUACCGUGUCUUAUUAUGUAGCCAGUUUACAAGUAUACUUGAGAAAGGUUGUACAAUACAAAACAGUAAUAAUAUCUUCUCGAGAGGUGUGUGACUGGUGCCUUGAUUGAUUAGUCAUGUGUGAGCCCAGUGAGUGUGAAAACCCUGUACAUAAUGUUUGUGUUGAGGACUCUCAAGUCCAUUGCUCAGUAGUAACCAACCAGCUGUCCAGCCAUAGCCACAUGUCUUAUAACUUGCUAUUGGUUGUUGUCAGCCAUAGCCAUUUGUCUCAUCAUAACCUGCUACUGGUUGUAUGUUCCAAACCCUGUAGGAUGUUAGUAUCUCUGUCUCCCUUGUAAUUAGCUAACAGGAUUGUCACUGUCUUUCCACUAAUAAUUUUCAUAAAUACAACAGUUGAAUGUGAUUGUUAUAGCUGAGUAUAAACUAUUUAAUAUUUAGUCAUAAAUGGAAUUUUAAAAUCUGGGAGGGUAAAUGUCUACUGUACAAAAUAUCUGUACAAAGUUGUACAAUUUUAUUAUUAAACUCCUUUCCUUAGAGAAAUAAGUAGAUAAAGAAAGCAAAAUUUUAAAUAGUUACUGGAAAUAGACCCAAUUUCCAUAGAUGUAAAAAUGUUUGAUACACAGGCUCGACUGAAAUUGCUGGCUGCUUUUUUAUUUUUAUUGUUACUUACCUCCUCUUUAUUUGGCUCAGUGCAGUUCCUAUGCAGAGUGCCCGCUUAUUAACAGCCACUAGUGAGGUUGACUGUAGCUUUAUUUGUGUAACCAUUAGGUUGAUCAUGUCCAUCAGGUUAUGGUUACAGUGCACCCCAUUGUAACUUGCUCUGGCCCAAGUACUGAACUGCCAUAGACAGUGGCUCAGAAAGGUCGACUCUAAACCCAGGUUGUCUGUACUGGCUAAUCAGGGUUCAGACUUGGAUCUCAUUUAUCCUGGCGUUGUGGUUCAGACUUGUGACCUUGUUGUCCUCAUCUUUCCCAUACUUCUGAGUAUCUACCUUUGCCCAGUAUCAUCUGGUGAUUUAAACUAUUUAUUAAUAUUUGAUGUGUUAGACUAAUGUUUCCCUGAGUAUGGUGGGAAUAUCAUGGAACACAGAGGCAGUGAUGUGACAGAUUCUCAGGUGGCCAUAGCUGUGGGGAACUUGGGACAUCACUAAUGGUAAAUGACAUUAUUAUAAAUAAGUAUUUGCUAGGACAUUGAGCAUUGUUCACCUACUGCAAGACAUACUGGGUGGUAUGCUUUGUCGGCUUGUUCAUGUCAUCACUCCCGUGUUCCCGUCACUGGUCACCACCCUGUCUUAAUGUUCCUUUGGAGAGGUGCUCAAAAUUAGCACUGGUAAUUUGUGUUUACAGCUUAUUUUGUUGUCUUGCAGAUGGUAACCAUUUUUUUUUGUCAGAUAUGUAAAUCAAUUACUAUUGCUUUAUGCCUCUAAACAGGGAGGGAUAUUGGAAUUUAUUUUUAUCUUAUGUCUUAUUAUUAUUAUACUAAAAAGGAUGGACAAAUGAAACAAAUGUUUUAGAUUAUAUAAAUAUAUUAAAUAUUCAGAUGCUAAAGAAGGUAAGCUGUAAUCCCUCGACAGGAAUGAUCCACUCAACACACAUUAAUUUAAGCUGUAGAUACGAGAAUCCUUGUUUUGAAGCCAAAGCCUUUGUAAAGUAGCUGUGGGCUACAUUCACUUUGUUUUAAAAAGUUUUUAUCAUCAUCAGAAAAGGAAUAUGCAGCGAUUUUUACUUUUAAUGAUUUUUAACAAAUUUGAGUCACUUAAAAUACUAGUCUGCAUUUUUCCUGGGAUGAUAACAUGCUUAGCGAAAGUUAUUCUGUAUUGUUGUGUUCAUUAGUAAGGAGUGGGGUAGUGAAGAACUCGAGAAACUUGAAUCCCGAUGUUUUGAAAAACUCUUGAGAAAGUUGGAAAGGGUGUUAUAACAUAUACCUGCAGAUUUGGAAAGAAUAAGGUCCUAGUGAGAAAGAAAUUUGCUCAAUUUUUAUGCUUUCAAUUGGAAAGAUGAUUAACAAGACUUGAAGAUCUUGGACUUGUUUAUUUAUUUAUUUAGUAAACUCACUCACUUUGUCACUUGAGCCUCAAGAUAAAUUAUUCUGAUUGUUGUGUGUGAUUCAUGCGCAGUGUUUGUUCAGCAUUUAUGAUAAGUGGUGCUAUGCUAUAAUUGUUGUCAACAAUAGUUUUAUAUGUAUACAUGUAAUUCCAUGAUGAUAAUCUGACUAUGCUCUUAAAUGUUGUAAACCAUAGAUUUAUAUGUAUACUUAUAAAUCUUAUGUAAAUUAUGUCUACAAUGUAAUUAUUGUAUGCCUUAUUUUAUGUGUAUACAUCUAACUAAUUCGGUCCCAAAUAUUUGUGCCUUAAAUGCAGGGCAUGUUUUAAUGCUCUGCAGUACCCCACCCCUUACCAUUUGCUGCAUAACAGAUUUAAGGACUUAUAUGUGCCAUUACAAUAUUUAAAGUUUGAAAUGUUGUUGUUGUUCAACACAAGCCAGGAUCACUCUGGAACCUCCAACUACACUGGCUUGAGAUGGGACACAUGUUAAGGAAAUACAGUAACAAAACUAAGUAUCAACUUCUUUUUAUACCAGAAUUGUGUUUUUUUUUGUUUUAUCAGCUUCAGAUAAGUGUACUAAUACAGUAUGAUGCACAAUAGAACCUUGAUAAUUUAUACACAACCAGUGAAGAAAACGGGAAGAACUUUUUGAAGGCAAUUCAUUCACAAUAGAGCUCAUUCUCACAUUGGUGUUCCACUGCCUGCAAUCAGUUAAAAUACAAGAUACAGUGCCUGUAAUUUUUCCUUUUCCUGGAAUGCUGAAACUAUCCCUUCUUAGUUACCUUCAGUGUGUCUACAUAACUGAUAUCUCCAUUAUUAAUAUUGAUUGUUUUAAUUACCCCUUUGGUUAUUUUCAUCAAUUUUACCAGUUAUUAGCUUUUGUGAAUUAUUGUUUUGUAAAAUAUCAAGGUUCUAUUGUACCAAACACUGUAUAUUUUAAGUCCAGAAAGAAUUUUAAAAGAUUCAGUUAUAAAGAAAUUCGUUCCAGAUUGGCUAUUGAUGUCAUAUUUGUCAGUUUGAGAAAAAUAUAUGUGGUGUUACAGAAGUUUAACUAAUAGGAUUUUAAGCAUCAAUAGGUUCAUUUGACAUGUCUCAUAAUUAUUGAAAAGAAGAUUAAUGUGUGAUAAAGUAUACACAUUAUAGAGCACUUCCUUAAAAGAUCUGGGAGAGACAAGCCCAUGUUGCACUUCAUUGGCUUAUCAUGACCAGUAUUUUUAAGAGAAGUGCUCCCGAUGUUUAUACCUCAUUGUGUGCAACAAUCAGCAUGUCAAUAGCUUUAUUUCCAGACAGCCAAAAGGAACCAACUACCUUUAAUAAUUGUCACAAGUCAGUUUCAAGAAUUUUUUCCUUUAUAAAUAUGAAUUUCAUUCACCAUUAUGUUUAAAUGUGAUCUGCUGGUCAUCUACAUCAUUGUGUCCAGGGAGAGUUGGCCGUGUUGCACAUCUGCAGAACCUUAAUCAGAUGACUGCAUUUGCUGUACUUAAUGCACAAAUUUUUGUAAUUGUAUUGAGAGUAAAUAGAGUUUUCUAGAAAUA